rnacentral:rRNA from 1 species
CCUACGGGCGGCAGCAGUGGGGGAUAUUGCACAAUGGGGGGAACCCUGAUGCGGCGACGCCGCGUGGGUGAAGGAGUAUUUCGGUAUGUAAAGCCCUAUCGGCAGGGAAGAAAUUGGACGGUACCUGACUAAGAAGCCCCGGCUAACUACGUGCCAGCAGCCGCGGUAAUACGUAGGGGGCAAGCGUUAUCCGGAUUCACUGGGUGUAAAGGGAGCGUAGACGGCCAUGCAAGCCAGGGGGGAAAGCCCGGGGCCCAACCCCGGGACUGCCCUUGGAACUGCAUGGCUGGAGUGCGGGAGGGGCAGGCGGAAUUCCUGGUGUAGCGGUGAAAUGCGUAGAUAUCAGGAGGAACACCGGCGGCGAAGGCGGCCUGCUGGACCGCGACUGACGUUGAGGCUCGAAAGCGUGGGGAGCGAACAGGAUUAGAUACCCCGGUAGUC